rnacentral:rRNA from 1 species
UACGUAGGGGGCAAGCGUUGUCCGGAUUUACUGGGCGUAAAGAGCGCGCAGGCGGUCGUUCAAGUCGCGUGUGAAAGCCCCCGGCUCAACUGGGGAGGGUCACGCGAUACUGAUCGACUCGAAGGCAGGAGAGGGUAGUGGAAUUCCCGGUGUAGUGGUGAAAUGCGUAGAUAUCUGGAGGAACACCGGUGGCGAAGGCGGCAUCCUGGACCGGUAUUGACGCUGAGGCGCGAAAGCUAGGGGAGCAAACGGGG